CCUACGGGAGGCAGCAGCGGGGAAUAUUGGACAAUGGGCGAAAGCCUGAUCCAGCAAUGCCGCGUGGGUGAAGUAGGCUUGCGGGUUGUAAAGCCCUUUCAGCAGGGAGGAAAAGCGUGCGGUUAAUACCCGCGCGUAUUGACGUUACCUGAAGAAGAAGCACCGGCUAACUCCGUGCCAGCAGCCGCGGUAAUACGGAGGGUGCAAGCGUUAAUCGGAAUUACUGGGCGUAAAGGGUGCGCAGGCGGUCUUGCAAGUCAGAUGUGAAAGCCCCGGGCUUAACCUGGGGAUUGCGUUUGAAACUACAAGGCUAGAGUGCAGCAGAGGGGAGUGGAAUUCCAUGUGUAGCAGUGAAAUGCGUAGAGAUGUGGAAGAACACCGAUGGCGAAGGCAGCUCCCUGGGUUGACACUUGACGCUCAUGCACGAAAGCGUGGGGAGCAAACAGGAUUAGAUACCCUGCUAGUCCACGCCCUAAACGAUGUCAACUAGUUGUCGGAUCUAAUUAAGGAUUUGGUAACGUAGCUAACGCGUGAAGUUGACCGCCUGGGGAGUACGGUCGCAAGAUUAAAACUCAAAGGAA
rnacentral:rRNA from 1 species